ensembl:snRNA U6 U6 spliceosomal RNA
GUGCUCAAUUCAGCAGCACAUAUAUUAAAACUGGAACUAUACAGAAAAGACCCCUGCAAAAGGAUGACAUACCAAUUUGUGCAGAGCUCCAUAUUUUU